UACGGAGGAUGCGAGCGUUAUCCGGAUUUAUUGGGUUUAAAGGGUGCGUAGGCGGAUUUUUAAGUCAGCGGUAAAAUGUCCGGGCUCAACCCGGGCCGGCCGUUGGAACUGGGGAUCUUGAGUGGGCGAGAAGUAUGCGGAAUGCGUGGUGUAGCGGUGAAAUGCAUAGAUAUCACGCAGAACUCCGAUUGCGAAGGCAGCAUACCGGCGCCCGACUGACGCUGAGGCACGAAAGCGUGGGGAUCGAACGGG
rnacentral:rRNA from 1 species